rnacentral:ncRNA from 1 species
AGGUAAUGCCUCCUGCACCUCUAUCACUGGAGACACUCGGUCAUGCUGUGGGUUAUGAGACCUUAGACGUUCAUCGUCGGGGGCAUGAUGUGAGGGCGGGUUGGAUGCCCC